GGGGUUGUCGCUCAGCGGUAGAGCAUUCGCCUCGUAUGAGCAAGACGCUAAGUUCAAUCCUCAGCACCA
rnacentral:tRNA from 1 species